CCCUGGGUGGCAUAAAUGUUUAAGCACUUGGCUACUAACUGAAAAAUUGGUGGUUCGAAUCCACCCAGGGG
rnacentral:tRNA from 1 species